GUGAAUCAAUCAGAUAUAUGACUUCUUCAAUAAACAUGAAACAAAGAGUUAAGGCACGUACCCUAAUUUUGAUCUUGUACAAAAUAUAGCUCCUAGGGAAGCUAACUCAUUUACAUGUAUAAAAUAUGGCCUGACUAAGAAGAACAAAAUACAUGUUUUUGCCUUAAGUUGUCCCUCCACAGAAAAUACUGACUCAUAAUUGGUAUACUGAUAAAAAAAACCUUACUGGAGUUGUAUACACUAGCUAUUCGCACUGCAUUUAAUCCACAGCAAAACCCUCCAUGUGUUGAAUCCUGUUUUCUCACUCUGUUCUAAUCAAGCAUUCUUUAGGUAAUCCAAAUUCCUUUUUCUGCAGAAGUUUUUGUCUCCAAGUAUCAUUAUGCAACUUGUAAU
rnacentral:misc_RNA from 1 species